GGUCAAUAACCCUGACAGGAAGGCCAUUACAAUUAAUGGCGAAGAGGUCGGUGGCUGCCUAACGGAGGGCUAGCCAAUUAAGGAGUCUUCCUCACUCCGUUCUGUAUCUGCUAGUCAAUCUCGAUACGAGUAGUAGCAAUUGCCUCUAGCUGGUUUAUUUUGAGAGUGUAUCCGGCAUGAGUCAUGACUUGGGGAAAUGGCAAUUGUACAUAGUUUGCAAUUUGCAUACGCUAAAUUCAGACCGAUUGGUGUGACGGUGGCGUUUUUCAAAUACAAACCACAACGGUGAACAUUUUGAUUCCCCAUGUAGAUAUGUGAACAGUUUUUUUGUGAAAACCUUGAUCGGGUAGGAUUUGUUUGACUUGGUUAGUAUAGCUGGUACGGAUAGAGUUCGAUCGACAAUGUUCUAAACAUCAGUAAUGGGCUGUUUUGGGUUUUGUA